rnacentral:tRNA from 1 species
GCGGGUGUAGUUCAAUGGUAGAACGGCAGCUUCCCCCAAGCUGCAUACGAGGGUUCGAUUCCCUUCACCCGCUCCA